rnacentral:rRNA from 1 species
AGGUAAUUCCUGCCCAGUGACUUAACAAGUUUAACGGCCGCGGUAUCCUAACCGUGCAAAGGUAGCAUAAUCACUUGCCCAUUAAUUGUGGGCUAGAAUGAAAGGAUUCACGAAAUAAACACUGUCUCUAUAAGUACAAUAAAAAUUAAUCUCUAACUGAAGAGUGUUAGAUAUAAUCGAAGGACAAGAAGACCCUAUAGAGCUUUAUUUUAAUAAAACCUAAUAAUUUUUUCUAUAAUUCGGUUGGGGCGACCAGGGAAAUAAUAAAUCAUCCCUUUAUAAAAGAUAACUUAAUCUUAGCUAUGACCCUUAAUAAAGAUCAAAAGACCAAGCUACCUUAGGGAUAACAGGCUAAUCCCAUUAAAGAGUCCUUAUCAAUAAUGGGGUUUGGCACCUCGAUGUUGGCUUAGGGAAUCUAUGUGGCGCAAAAGUCACAUAAAGAUGGUUUGUUCAACCAAUAAUACCCU